GACGAACCGUGCGAACGUUAUUCGGAAUCACUGGGCUUAAAGAGCGCGUAGGCGGAUUGCCGCGUCGGAGUCUGAAAUCCCCCGGCUCAACCGGGGAACUGGAUCCGAAACGGGCAGUCUUGAGGGACGUAGGGGGGGCUGGAACUUCCGGUGGAGCGGUGAAAUGCGUUGAGAUCGGAAGGAACGCCCGUGGCGAAAGCGAGCCCCUGGACGUCUGCUGACGCUGAGGCGCGAAAGCUAGGGGAGCGAACGGG
rnacentral:rRNA from 2 species